rnacentral:lncRNA from 1 species
GAAAACAAAAUUGGCCCCUUCAAAUGAUUCAAAAAACUCUUACCUUUUUCUUUGAAUCAAGGUCUGGACCUCCACCAAUUAUUAAAUCCUGUACAGACUUUAAACUUGUAACACGCGUCGGGCAGAGAGAUUGCCCAUGAUGAGAUGACCUUUCGAUCAAAAGUCAGACCGUUCCAGAGUUGGAUGCGCCGAUACUGGUGGUUUCAAUUUACAAUCAGUCAGUUGAAAAUCUCCAAAUUUCGAUUGAUCCAAACCUCCAUUUCAGUUACGUGCCGCACCAGCGUGAUCAGCAUCAAAUUCGUACAAUCUUGUGAAAAAUCAUCAAAUGUUAAGAUGGAGUUUUGUCG